rnacentral:other from 1 species
AGCAUUCUGCCUUGUGCGAGCAAGUCUGAUUUGAUAUAAUCCAACAUCUGUGAAUAGGGAAUCUGAUGCUCUGCGUUAAGAAUUGCAGACCUCCCGCUUCGGCGGUAGAAGGGAGCAUGCGCUGCGCAGGCGGAUACCCACCUGCUUCAAGCGGGUUUUAUUCUUCAGGCGACGGCAAGGCGGAUCCUGC